rnacentral:rRNA from 1 species
AACGAACGCUGGCGGCAUGCCUAACACAUGCAAGUCGAACGAUUGCCUUCGGGUGAUAGUGGCGCACGGGUGCGUAACGCGUGGGAAUCUGCCCUUAGGUUCGGAAUAACAGCUGGAAACGGCUGCUAAUACCGGAUGAUAUCGCGAGAUCAAAGAUUUAUCGCCUGAGGAUGAGCCCGCGUUGGAUUAGGUAGUUGGUGGGGUAAAGGCCUACCAAGCCGACGAUCCAUAGCUGGUCUGAGAGGAUGAUCAGCCACACUGGGACUGAGACACGGCCCAGACUCCUAUGGGAGGCAGCAGUGGGGAAUAUUGGACAAUGGGCGCAAGCCUGAUCCAGCAAUGCCGCGUGAGUGAUGAAGGCCCUAGGGUUGUAAAGCUCUUUUACCCGGGAAGAUAAUGACUGUACCGGGAGAAUAAGCCCCGGCUAACUCCGUG